AUUGAACGCUGGCGGCAGGCCUAACACAUGCAAGUCGAGCGAGCGGCGGACGGGUGAGUAUUGUCUGGGAAACAGCCUGAUGGAGGGGGAUAACUACUGGAAACGGUAGCUAAUACCGCAUACCAUCAGCAGUGUCCAGAUGGGCAUAGCUAGUAGGUGGGGUAAUGGAUCACCUAGGCGACGAUCCCUAGCUGGUCUGAGCGGAUGACCAGCCAAACUGGAACUGAGACACGGUCCAGACCCCUACGGGAGGCAGCAGUGGGGAAUAUUGCACAAUGGGCGCCAGCCUGAUGCAGCCAUGCCGCGUGUGUGAAGAAAGCCUUCGGGUUGUAAAGCACUUUCGGCGGGGAGGCGUUACCCGCAGAAGAAGCACCGGCUAACUCCGUGCCAGCAGCCGCGGUAAUUC
rnacentral:rRNA from 1 species